UGGUGGUGGUGGUGCUGGACUCGCGGUAUCCACAGGAUUGGAGGCAGCAACGCUGCAGAAGCUGGCGCUUCGGCGGAAGAAGGUGCUGGGGGCCGAGGAGAUGGAGCUGUAUGAGCUAUCGCAGGCUGCAGGCGCCGCCAUAGACCCCGAUGUGUUCAAGAUUCUAGUGGACUUGCUGAAUCUGAACGUGGCUCCCCUCGCCGUCUUCCAGAUGCUGAAGUCCAUGUGUGCUGGACAGCGGCUGGCAAGCGAUCCCCAGGACUCGGUGUCCAUGUCUCUGUCCACGUCCACAUCAGAGACCCGAGGUUAGAGGAAGAAACCGAGGUGGCCCCAUUCUUGGUAAUGUGACUAUAGUGGCAGAACGUGGAAGCCGUGAAAGACCCAUCCAGAGGAUGCCACGCCAGCCCAGUGCUACUAGGCUGCCCAAGGUGGGAGGACCUGGAAAAAGUAACUCCCGAAGCAGCCCAUAGGCUAGAACAGAGAUUGCACUUGACACACACUCCUCAAGGCAGAUGGUGUCCAUCUCUUCAUUUCCUUAAACCCUUCUGAGAAGCUGAACAUCUGUAGCUGCUGUUUUUUGAUACUAUUAAAAGACUUAGAUUUAGAGUGGAUUCUAUGUGGAGUCCACCUUUCUGCUGUAUAUGGUUUUGCUACAGUCAAACUUGGACACAUAACAGUGAUUUUUGUCUUUUUAAAUCUUAUUUGGAGUCUAAGAAAAUAUAUAUGAGUCUUCUUAUAAACAAGCCAAUGUGCUUUCCAGA
rnacentral:lncRNA from 1 species